UCUAAGUUCACCCCUUUAAUGGUUACCUACGAAAGUAAAAAAGAUAGGAAAUUUCUAUAGGGCCUUUGUGCCGACAUCCAUGAUCGAGUUGUGAUGCUGAGAUCUAACUUGUAUGUGGAGGUGCUAGAACAUGUCCAGUUGGCUGAAGACCUCAUCUCAGUCAGACACCAACACAUUGCUCGAGUUCGUACCCAACAACAAUAACCCCAAUAGCUUAGAAGGAGAUUGCCUGACCUAGUAAGUAGCCACCCCGAUAAACGAACCGGAGUUGUCCUUUCCCUUACUUUGUCUCUACCUACGGGUCAGCUUGCCUAACCUACCCA
rnacentral:lncRNA from 1 species